rnacentral:rRNA from 1 species
UACAGAGGAUGCAAGCGUUAUCCGGAAUCACUGGGCAUAAAGCGUCUGUAGGUUGUUUAGUAAGUCUGCUGUUAAAGACUGGGGCUCAACCCCAGAAAAGCAGUGGAAACUGCUAGACUUGAGUGUGGUAGAGGUAGAGGGAAUUCCUAGUGUAGCGGUGAAAUGCGUAGAUAUUAGGAAGAACACCAAUGGCGAAGGCACUCUACUGGGCCAUAACUGACACUGAGAGACGACAGCUAGGGGAGCAAAUGGGAUUAGAUACCCCAGUAGUCCUAGCCGUAAACGAUGGAUACUAGAUGUUGCACGUAUUAACCCGUGCAGUAUCGUAGCUAAGGCGUUAAGUAUCCCGC